rnacentral:rRNA from 1 species
GAUGAACGCUAGCGGCAGGCCUAACACAUGCAAGUCGAGGGGCAUCGCGGUGCAGCAAUGCACUGGCGGCGACCGGCGUACGGGUGCGUAACGCGUAUGCAACCUGCCCGCACCGGGGGAUAGCCUGCCGAAAGGCGGAUUAAUACCCCAUGGUCCCGGGGGCCCGCAUGGGCAUCCGGGUAAAGCCUUGGCGGUGCGGGAUGGGCAUGCGUGCCAUUAGCUGGCUGGUGGGGUAACGGCCCACCAGGGCAACGAUGGCUAGGGGGUCUGAGAGGACGAUCCCCCACACUGGUACUGAGACACGGACCAGACUCCUACGGGAGGCAGCAGUGAGGAAUAUUGGUCAAUGGGCGGAAGCCUGAACCAGCCAUGCCGCGUGCAGGAUGACGGCCCUACGGGUUGUAAACUGCUUUUCCCCGGGGCGAAUAACCCCCUCGCGAGGGGGGAUGCCGGUACCGGGGGAAUAAGGAUCGGCUAACUCCGUG